rnacentral:tRNA from 1 species
GGUGAUUGUAGCUCAGCUGGUUAGAGCGCUGGUUUGUGGCACCAGAGGUCGCCGGUUCGAACCCGGUCUU